rnacentral:rRNA from 1 species
GACGAACGCUGGCGGCGUGCUUAACACAUGCAAGUCGAACGGAGCGAAAUGGAAGCUUGCUUCUAUGGAGCUUAGUGGCGAACGGGUGAGUAACGCGUAAUCAACCUGCCCUUCAGAGGGGGACAACAGUUGGAAACGACUGCUAAUACCGCAUAAGCGCACAGUACCGCAUGGUACGGUGUGAAAAACUCCGGUGGUAUGAGAUGGACCCGCGUCUGAUUAGGUAGUUGGUGGGGUAACGGCCUACCAAGCCGACGAUCAGUAGCCGACCUGAGAGGGUGACCGGCCACAUUGGGACUGAGACACGGCCCAA